AGUGAAAUGUCUGCCAAGCUUUGCCCCUCCCUCACUGCGGUCAGAGAGGGGGAGAUUAAAGUGUAAGAACCAGACUGAUCUUAGAGGUGUUGCAGUACUCACUGCAGUACAUCUUUGAAUCUCUGCUCUGCCAGAAAGGAUGGCAGAGUGACCCCAACCAGAGCAGGCAUCUCCAGGUAAGAACCCUGAGCACUCUACCCAGGGCCAGCCUGUGAGUGCCCCCAAACCCUGGCUCCAGCACGAGGUAUCUUGGGCUAAAUGCUGUAACUGCACUGCAGGAACUGCAGUCACUGAUAACCAACUGAAAAAUCCAGAUCUUGCAGCUUUUUCUAAAGUGCUCCACUAGCCCUUGCCAGGUAUCCCUUUGAGUUGUUCACCCUGUUAAAGAUGGUACAUUUAUGAGAUAUUUGAGUUUCUCUUGAUGACUCCUAAAGCUGCCCUUCAGUAGAAUCCAGUUAUUUAUACCUAAGCAGUGCCCAAGGAAGCUGUUAUGGCAACAGCACAGGCUACAGGUGUAAAUACAAGGGGCUGCAGCUGGAACUGCCUGCAGUGGCCAGGCUUCUGUCUGCAGGAGCAGUCACUCAGUGAGUGGCUGUACAGAGCAUCUCCCUGGCACAGCCAGAGCAGGAGUAGUGCAAGGAGGCCACAGUGAGGUGCAGAGCCUGGCUAGGGAGUCACAGGGGUAUGACUGAUUACCAGUUGCACACUGUAAGAUUCUUGGAAAAAAAGAAAAGGAACUAUGGAGCUGGUGUGGCUGCAGAGCUGCCCUCAGGGCUCAGCAGAGUGCUGGUGUUUCCUUCUUGGUCUGUGCUUGGAUUCCCCUACAAUGAGAACAGGACUUGUGCAUGCUUGGAUUUGUGCUGGGUCUCAUUAGCAUUUCUGGAAAUCCUCAGAAUCAGUAGCCAAAAUGAUGCUUUGAAAGUUUUCCCAAGACAAGCCGUGGCCUCUGGCUGACCCGGUGAGUGGAUGACAGAGCUGCAAUGUUCCAUCUGUGCUGCCCAGUCUGAGUCAUGGUGCAGAGUGAAUUUCAAGGCAACAAGUCUGUGAUGCUUUAAAUCCUUCUUGGAACUUCUGCACGGAGCUGCUAAAAGUGGGUGUGGUCUGUCCCUGACACAGCCCUUGUACCACAAGGAGAAAACAAAAACAAUCUCCGUUGAGGCACAGGGUGCAAAACUGAGACCUUGCCCCUGUCUGACAUCUGAAGCUGACUGGUGAAGCACCAGCCCACUGCAGACAGGACUGUGGAGGGACUGGACCAAGUCAGAGCCAUUUAGCUCAUUCAGGUCCCAAGGCUUUGGCCCUUGAAGGACUGAAAGCCUUUUUUUCCUGGCUCUUCCAUGUCUUGUGACCCAGGUAGAUGGUGCAGUCAGUUGCUAGAUGCUACUUCUCAAAGACAUAAAUGUUAGGAGUUAAAUCGUAUGCACAGCUCUGUGGAACAAAAUUAGUCCAUUGUGUGAUUAAGGAGCUGGAAUGUUUAAUGGAGCAAAACAGCUCCAGUGGAGAUAAAGGUCCUCUCUGGCUUUUCUGAUCUGGUGAUUUCUGGGCAGCAGGGCCCGAUUGUUUCACUGAUGAUAAAUGUUCAUCCCAGUGGGGCCUGAGCACAUGUGCACACCAACUCCUGGCUAACACAACACGUGGGAGGAGUGUCACUGGGGUGAUGGGGUGACAGGCUGCAGGGCAGCACAGCAGGCAGCCACAGGGCACAAGGGGUGCUGAGGCAGGAGGGUUCCCCUCCAUCCAUGACCAGCUGGGCACCCUGCACUAGUCCAAAGGCAGAGGGGAAGCCUGUGGUUUUGUUUGGGUUUUCUUUUAGAAAUCCACCCGAGAUUCUUUAUUCUGUCUCUGGGAAGCUCUUACUGCCUCAGCUGGAGUAUUAUUUAUACCACAGCCAGUGCUGCUUGCAAGAAAAAAAGGAUUCCUGUGUUACCAUGAAUCAGCAGAUGGACUUUUUCUGUUGAGUACUCUCUUCCUCAUGUGUUGUGGGAGGGCAAGAAAUGAACAGCUGAGCCUCUCAGUGUUGUCUCCCAGGAGCAUCAAAUGAACUGCCUCCAAUUGUGCAAUGCCUCAAAUGCUGUGAGGGAGGCUGUUUCCAGGAGCUUCUGACAGGUGUGGGACACCAAGGAGCCAAGGGCUGCCCUGAGGAACAUGAGAGCAGCUCCUGGCCAGGGCCAAACCCAGCCCCAGAGCUGGGGAAUGUGCACAAUGUGGAAGUGCAGAGAGAGCUGGCCUUGUCCCUGGGUAAGAGGAGACCCUGACUGUAACAUUAGAGCAUGUUUCAGAGCCUUGCCUAACACCAGCUGAAUAUCUUAAUAGUUUUCUGGUGGAGUCAGUCCUGGUUUGACAGACUGUGCAUGCUGAGGCAUCUGCAGAGUAACUGCUUGUGUUUAAUGGCUCUGGGACUGAGGCACUGAAAGCAAAACUCAAAGUGCUGCACAUGAGAAACUUGUUCAGAAAUAUUCAUCUGUGGGGGGUGCACAGAAGAAGGCAUGCUGGAGGGUUGUAAGGAGAAGGACAGAUCAGGAGGUACAGCAGAGUUCUACUGCAAGCUCGCAGGGAGAAAAGUCAAGGUGCAGCAAAAUCCUAAAAGGCCCCACUUUUCAGAGCACAUAUGAUUGUUUCUGCUACAGAAAUAUACUUUGUAGUUGCCCACAUCUUUCAAAAGACUGUAAAAUAGCUGCUAAUUUGUUGGCUGAAAUACUGAAGCAGGGAGCAGCAGCUCAAGCAGCUUACACAGCAUGUGAUGCUGCCCUGGGACCAGAGCUCAGCUGUUGUGGGUUUGGCCUCACACUCCUCUGCCCAAGCCCUUUCCAGAUGGGACAGGGUGAGCCCUGCUGGUCACUGCUGGUCAUUAACUGCUAAUUGCUCACACAAGAUACAAAAUAAAAGGAUUGGCAUUGGGCUUCAGGCAACGGUUUUGUUUCUGCACACAGCUACCAUUGCCAAAACAAAAUGAUGUGAAGAAUCUACUUGGUGUCCCUAAAUCUUUUUUAGAGACUCUUUUUAAGCUGCAAUGACCCUUCCCAUCUGUUUGGAGAGUUUGCAAGUCUGUUCCAGUGCCCAGGGAAUGCAGAGAUGAAGCAGGAUUUAGCAGAGGAGUUCACUCCUGAUAAAGGCAGAGGACACUGGCUACAGGUGAGUGCUCCUACAGCAGGAGUUAGACUGAGCUGCUUGAGAGCUCUAGAAGAGGUUCAGACCACAGAGGUCAAUGCACUGGAGAGCUGUUUGCACUGAAAGUUGGCUGUUACCUCUGUGGGUCUCUUCUCAGCAUUCUCUGUAGAGGUGGGGAGAAAAAAAGGAGAGACUUGUGCAGGAGGAAAUAUCCUUACAGCAGGUGCUAGAAGGAAUUCACCCUGGAAAGAUUUCUGAGUCAGCACACCCAGUCCAGUUAUCAAAGAGAGAGGAAAUACAGUAAGUUAAACUGCUUAAACUGCUUCCUUUUCAAGUAGUUGCUUGUUUUGCCACACGAGUGCUCUGAAUAAAUGUCUCUGCUGAGGCAAUGUGCAGCUGCAAUCCCUGUUCAGUGACCCUGGAGGUGGGCACUGCCCUGAGUCACUGUGCUGGGUGGAUGAGUGCCAGUGUCCUGGGUGCUGCCUGGCCAUGCCACAGCACAGCUCCAUGGCUCUGGGAAUGGUGGGAUUUGCCAAGCACUGUUCCAAUUGCCUUGCUGAAAGCUGGAUGCUCUGGCAUAAGCAUGGCACUUCACCCUUUCCCCUAAUGGGUAAACAGAUCCCACCUUCAACACCUAUUUGUGUCAUCCAGGAACCUGCUGAUCAUCAGGUUUCAGCCCAAGUGUGACCCAAGCUGGAGCCUCGUGAGAUAUUCCUACUUCCAAGCACCUGCCCACACCAGAGCUGAAGCAUUAGCUGGGUUUUACCUCCUAAACACAAAUAAUGCUUCCUAUUAAAGGAUUUGCUGGACUAGACCAUGAGACUUCCACAUAGCAUUUAAUCCACUGCAGAGCUACCUAUGCCAGCAGCCUCUGAAGUUGGUGAAGAAGUAAAGGUGGCAGGUACAAGGAGGUGGGGAUCAUACUGGGACUAGACUCUUCCAUGGAUGAUGGUGAUCUCCACCUCUGAACCUGUGCCAGCAUGGGGGUAAGUGCAGAAGCAGCUGACAAGCCAAGCACCGGCUUCCUGGAAGAGCAGCUGGAGUGAAAUGGGUUGGAAAAGGCUUUAAGGAUCGUUUCUGUGGGAAUGGGCUGACAAUCCUGCUGCUUAAUUUAUGUAUAAAGAAUGUAUAAAGAAACCAAAGCCUCCAGGUGUCUCCUUUUUCAGCAGAGUUCAAUUCCUAAAAGACAGCGAGCGAGCCCCUGCCCCAAAGUCAAGGACAUGACUUGUAGGCACAGCCCGAGACUGACCAUCUUCAGCAAAGCAAGGACCAUCAGUUUGGAGACAGAAGCACACUUCAGCUGAGGAAAUCGCACCCUUUUCACACCUGAAGUUUGAAACAUCUGUCUGGGGGCAUGAACACCUGUAGGAGUAGUGGUUUUCCAGAUCUGUCACCUAACAAGGAAUUUGGAAUCACUGAGUUGAGGCCCCAAAAUGGGCAGCACUGGGAGCACAGGAGACUUCUGCUGCACCAAGAGGGGACAUCAGCUGUUGUCACUUAUUCUUUCUUGCUCUUCCCUGCUCAUGUAAAUGAGCAAUGACUACUGUAAAUGAUGGUGAGAGCUGGAAGACAGCCUUCUGCCUCUUCAGUGACAUUUUCUCUUAGAAAAGAAUUAUAUGAAACGAAAUUCAAAUCAGAUCAUGCUAAAAUGCUGUAGACAACUUGCUAAAUCUUCAUUCAGGCAAUUCCUGUGAGCUUUUCUGUUACUUGAUAGUUGUAUGGCUCUGUUACAGACAAGUUUUUGAUGUUCUGUAAAGGUUUUCAGUGCCCUUGGCAUUUCAGAGAGGAUAUCUGUGCACCUGCUCCUUGCUUCCCCUUCUGGGAGAUGAACGUCACAGCCUGCCCACGUUCCCCAAGAGGCUUCGCUUACUGAUGAGUGCUGUUUCUGCAACAGCUGAAGUCAGCACAAUUCUGAAGUAAUGGCAUGAAUCAUAAAAUAAGCACCUCCUCUCUUUGCCAAUGCAAACUCUGGGGUUUUCUGCCUUUUUCUAGAACUGCCAGUGCUCCCUGACUCUGCACAGGUGAGAGGCACAACAUAAGAAUCUUAGACAAAGCUUGGCUUCUCAGCCUUCUUAACCUUAGUAUGCAUUUAAUGCUAUUAACAGUAACAUCCUUCUUAAAUAUUUAAUGCACUUCCUGGAGGCUUUUCUUUUCUGAUUUCAUAUGUUUAUCCAGCUCUCCUUCCUGCCACUGGAAGCAAAUAUUCCCCAGCAAGCAAACCUUGCCCCUGUGGCACAUGCCCUUAGCAGCAGCGCUCCCUCUGCAGCCUGCACUCACAGCUGGCUGCCAGGGUAGCCUUGCAGCUGACCCCCACAGAGCCCAGAGGUGAAAAGCCCUUAAAAUUCAACCUGGAGCUCAAAGGCAAGGCAGACUUCCUCUGGACAGCCUCUUCUCUGCAGUGAAGACAGGCACAUUGGCCAGGAUUCCUGGUGGAGCUGCAUAAGCCAGGACAAGCACUAAGGAGAGGCUGCAUCUUCCAGCUUAACUAAAAACACAGCCCUACCUCAGCUUAGCUGCAAAAGCCAGCAGGAGCCCUCACCAUCUUCAAGUUCUUCCCUGCUUUUGAGCUUGAAUUUUUUUUGCCUGAACUUUGAGUUAAUCAGUAGAAAUGCUGAGGCUUCCUGUAUUUCACAAAAGUGUUUUCUAACAAUUACUGCUUCCAACAAGGCAUCUGUUUACACGUUGACAUAAAAAAGUGUUUUCUUUUUCUUGUUCCCUUGGCUGCAGUUAGUUAGCUCAUUUGGGAUUACAAUGGUAGCACAGUAGGACUCUGUCUUUUCCUUGCAUGAAAUUUUGUUGAAAGUGUGAACUCUAAAAGGCAUUGAAAUGAGAGAAAGUAAAAUCCAUUUUUUAAAUGAAACGACGUAAACAUUUUCUUAUCUGUCCCAGCCUCAGAGGUUUUGUAAAUCUUUGAAGUUCAGUGGCUUCUGUAGAAAUGCUUAAACUACAGGUUUUCAUCCAUAGAACAGGUUCCUCCAACCUCCAUCAAAAAGGGUUGAAACCCCCAGACUCUGGGGGAUUUCAUUCUGCUAAGAGUGAAAGGCUUCCCUGGUUAUGAUGUGACACAGGCAGGCAGUACCUGUCUCCUUCCUUCACCCAUGUCUGAAAAACCUGAAUUUACACCAGCACAAAAUAAUGCCUGGCAAGGUGUGAGGUCCUAGCAAGGUGGCUGAAAGGCAGAAUUUGCCAUUGUGACCUUCUCAUUAACUUGACACUUGGCAUUAAAUUAUGGAGGACUGCUAAAAGCACCAACCUCAAAUCCCUCCUGAUGCACCUAGGAGGCCUCUGGUCCUUGGUGAUACUGUGGCUCAUGGAUGGUGAGUUUUUAUCCACUUUCCCUUUUUUCAGAGGGUUAUUUUCUCUCUGGUACAUUUCCUUCAGUGUCUAAUGUGUGGUAAAAAUUAAUAUUUGAAUAUGAACUAAGCUACAGCAUCUGUGACUUCUAACUGGGGUUAAGAUGAUGUAAAGCCUGCACAUUCCUUUUCCAGAUACCUUUUUCCCUGAUGUUGAAGUCUAUUAAAUAUACAAAGCCACCUGGUCACAAAAGAGUUGAGAUAGGGAAUAUUUCUCCUAGGCAAUUAAAUGAUGGGUCCAAAAUAGGUACUGUUUAACUGUGCACAUUAAUAGCUAAACCUAGACUGUCUGAUUCCAUUAACUGUUUGAUUGCAUCAGGAAUUCAGUUUGACCUUUCUGAAAGUUAUUAUAAAAGAUGCAUAGAUGUUCU